GGUCGCGGCGUGUCAAUCGGACAUGACGGAGAUGGUGAACGCAGCGAUUUUUCCGUUUUCUCGCUGCGGGCAACGAAACGCCAGGCGAGCGCCCAACCUGUCCGCCGC
rfam:Rhizobium sp. Leaf453 contig_14, whole genome shotgun sequence.